rnacentral:tRNA from 1 species
GGUCGUGGCUCAGUGGUAGAGAACCUGCCUGGCGUGCAGAAGGUCAUGGGUUCAAUCCGGGGUAUGUCCA